rnacentral:rRNA from 2 species
CUUGGCGGCCAUAGCGCUCUGGACCCACCCCUUCCCAUCCCGAACAGGACCGUGAAACGGAGUUGCGCCGAUGAUAGUGCAUAUCUCUUGUGCGAAAGUAGGUCACCGCCAGGC